UCCAUAAUCAGCCCCUCAAACCUUGAGAAUUGGAAGAAUUUUUUGAGAGAUUAAAGGCAGAAGCAAUGGAUGUUGCUGUGUCUGUCAAUUAUGUGGGGGAGAACAUACACGGACAGUAUUUUCAGAAUCUGCCCUUGACUCCUACUUCAAAUACAACUCACUUAAUUAGUCAUGAAGGUGACUUUACAAGAAGAGCAUUUGGAGAUAGAAUAUACCAUCGUGAAAAAAUUAUCAAAACCAGAAAAACAGUGUUCAUUUGGGAGAUAAUCUACUGUGUGAAAGAAUGAUCAAAACCAGAAAAACAGUUUCAUUUUCUUCCUGAAUCUGAGAAAUGGACCUGAUGCAACAGCCAUCUUUUGACAAGGCUUUAGGAAAAAAGCCAACACACUCAACCAAGGCAAGCAGAGAAUUAGAAAAGAACUGUAUGUCAUAUUGCAUUAUUGAGCAAUGAGGCACAGUUUU
rnacentral:lncRNA from 1 species